UACGUAGGGGGCAAGCGUUAUCCGGAUUUACUGGGUGUAAAGGGAGCGUAGACGGUUUGGCAAGUCAGAUGUGAAAGCCCAGGGCUCAACCCUGGGACUGCAUUUGAAACUGCUAGACUAGAGUGCAGGAGAGGUAAGUGGAAUUCCUAGUGUAGCGGUGAAAUGCGUAGAUAUUAGGAGGAACACCAGUGGCGAAGGCGACUUACUGAACUGUAACUGACGUUGAGGCUCGAAAGCGUGGGGAGCAAACAGG
rnacentral:rRNA from 1 species